AACCCAGAGGUCGAUGGAUCGAAACCAUCCUCUGCUAAAUAUUUUUCUCCUGUUAGUAUCUGUGGAUAUCAUUUUUCCGUUACGUGGUCAGUAAUGGACGUUGGCCAAUCGCGGCCCUUCUCUCCAGCGUGAACUUGUGUUACGUUACCAAGUUACGCAGAACGACGUUCCUCAUCACUCUGCUGAAGAUAGCUGAAGCUACUACAAGUCGUCAAAGAGCUGACUUGCCAUGGAAGUGGGACAGCUCUUUGGGUGACCUCCAUUGGCAACAAGGUUGGCUAGAUCCUGACCAGUGCAGGAGGGCCUGGGACUGGAUAGGAUGGUGUCUGGCGAGAUGGAGCGGUACCGCCAAGCAGCUGUUCCACCCCUAGUCCUGCUAUACGUGGACUGUGGCCGCUGCGUGAGUGAGGGGGCGAGCAAGCUGCAGACCAGGUUUGUGGAGUGGCCAGACCUUCACAAACGGCUAGACAUCUGGCACUUCAUGAGGAGGCUGGCUGUCGGUGGCACCACCCAUGCUCUACCCCACCUUCAUGGGCUGCCUGUCUGCAUGCACCUUUGAGUGGGAUGCAGGGGACCUCGCUCUGUUGCGGCAGAUGACGAGGGAGCAGCUCAAGCAGGAGGGUGUGCUAGCCCUUACUGAUCUUCUGAUCUUCUGGUGGACAGGAGAAUAAGUAGGAAGGAGCUGAGCCAGUACUGCUGCAGGAGGACAUGCAGCGUGGAGGCCGCCAUCUGCCUUAUUGAGCGGCUGCUGCAGGAACUGGGGGGCGGCAAACCCUGACUGCUGCUGCCUCCUCCCUAACAGCUUCCACCAUGCUGCAGCCAGGUGUCCCAGCCUCUCCUGGUGAGUCUGGGGUAUGUACAUUCAUAAUUGUGUUAAAAGUAAUAAAAUCACUGUAACUGCAUUUUGCCCCACAUCUCUGUUUCCAAAAUGUGUCGCUCAUCUAUUUUUUUAUUUAAUUUUUUCAGGCUGUGGAUGACUGGCGUGCCAGGCAUGGACAGAGUUGACAGCAUGGCAGAGUAUCUGGUGGAGAUGAGGAACCAGCCCUCUCUGGCCCUCACCAACCAGCAGGGCUGGUGUGUUCUCUCUCUCUGUCCAGAUGAGAUCUCAUCCUGAAUGACUACAGAAGGAUCAGGCGGCGCAUUCUGGCCAAUGGGGCUGUUAUGCAACAGACCACCCUGCAGCUGGUGGACGUGAGCCACACCACCCUGGUACAGUGGCACAACAAGAGGGUGAAGAGGCAGGGCAACUUGGUGGUGAUGCAGGGACUGGACAUGCCCAGCCGCUUGUCUGUGGCGACUGACCCUCUUCUCCCUGCUAAUGUGUGCCAACCAUCUGACCAUGAACUUGCAUUGAAAUAUAUAAUGUAGAAUUAUCAAUAUCUCACUAAUAUAUGGUUAAUGAAAAGUAAUAUGCAAACAAAUUGUGAUUUCCAAUAAUAAAAAUGAACUUUGCAGUAAAUAAUGCAUGGCUCAAUUUCAGCUAACAGUGGGACUCGAACCGGGAACCUUGGGGUCAACUCUUCUCUCAUAUAAAUGCAUAUAUGCAUUGAAAUAUCCAAUGUAGAAUUUUCCAUAUCUCACUAAAAUAAGGUUAAUAAAAAGUAAUAUGCAAACAAAUUGUGAUUUCCAAUAAUAAAAAUGAACUUUGCAGUAAAUAAUGCACACCUCAAUUUCUGCUAACAGUGGGAUUCGAACCGGGAACCUCUUCUCUCAUAUAAUUGCAUAUAAAAACAGAAGCUUAAGGUUUAAAACAUAAUUUAUGAUAUACAUCAACAUUUAAAAAACGUCAGUCAUGGAGGAUUAGGCCAUACAAAAAACCUUUCCUUCUUUAUUUCUCUCCUUUUCCUUUUUUCCUCUCUUUUCUUUUCCCCUCUUCUUCCCCCCUUUUUCCUCUUCUUCCCCCCCAAAACAGACUAUUUUACACCAGCUUCCUCGCCUCCCUGCUAAUGUGUGCCCACCAUCUGCCCCCCCAACCAGGCCCAGUUCACCAGUACCACCCAGCUGGCAAGCACUGUGGUGAAGGUGAAGGUUAGGCCAUACAAAAAACCUUUCCUUCUUUAUUUCUCUCCUUUUCCUUUUUUCCUCUCUUUUCUUUUCCCCUCUUCUUCCCCCCUUUUUCCUUUCUCCCCCCCCCAAAACAGACUAUUGUGCACCAGCUUC